UUUAAAAAACAUUAAAAAUUGUUGACUUGCAAUUUUUUGCACUCUCCCGAAAUACAGUGUAGUAAGGCAUAUUUCCAGUGCCUAAAAUAUAACUCAGUGGAUAUAAGCCGCUUCUACCGUGCUUUCACUUUUUGAAUUCGUGCGAAUGACUAGCUAAUCCUCUCGGAGUUUCUUCGGUAAUACGAUACUUCAACACCUGAUUAUUGGAUCAUGCAUGGCAUCGUUUUACACAAAUACUUCUAAAGUUGAGCUAAUUACCAUGUGUUGGUUCAUGGCAUUGUCGCCUUAUUAAACACCAUCAUGGCUGUAGCAACAACGUCUUUCGUGAAAAGUAUGAUUCGUCCAGCAUGCAAGCGUCGUUUGCAAAGAAAACCAUCGGUGGUUGUUGUUGAUGACGCGAGACUGCCUUUGAAUACCUUUCAUAAAGAAUGCGUGUCUUUUGAUGGAUAUUUAUGAAAAAGAGAGUAUGCCGAAAGAGACAUAUGAGUCAAAAAUAGCUAAGAUUGCAGAACUUGUAUCGACACACGAGGACGCGGAAAGCGUGUUAAAAACAUUUUCUCAUUUAUCCGUCCUUGAUAGAUAUCGACAUGGCAACAGAGAAGUCAUGUUCUCUGUCAUGAGAGAUGUGGAUGGAAAAAUAAAGAAGAGCUCGUUGCAUUUAGAAAAGAGGUUUCGUCAAGCGUGUGUCGAUCUUCUGGAGCGAAUAAGCACCAUUGAAAAUUUGAAUAGGUUAGACGCCGAUUUGGUUUGCUUUCUGUGCAAGUCAUGUAAAGUUGAUUCGUUAAAAUCACUUCUCGGCGAAAUUGGACGAAGUGUCUGGCCAUACGUGAAGCGACCGUUAUGGACAAGUGAAGUUUUUGUAGAUAUUGUUGUGGAUAUCUUUGAGACAAUCGGAAAGCAAUUAUCAGAAUUGCAUCCUACUAACUUUAUGAUGGCGUGGGAUGUAAUUCGCCGGAAUUUUAUUUUGUCUUCAUCGAAAUUAUCGUCGUACAGUAAAUUGAGACUCUUGAGUCUUAUUGAAUUCUAUCGGAGCGGAUGGAGGAGAUCGAAGGAGCAGACUCGGUGGUACAGAACACAGUAUGAUAAUGAGUUUAUUGACCCAAUGAAAAAAGAGGUCAUGACAUUUCUUGGCUUGCUGUCAUCAAAACGAAAAACGUCAUUGAGUGUGAAACCCGGUCGGUCAGCAGCAGACUUUAUUAAAAGGCGCCAAAGUAGUCAAACACAACUUGUGCCAGAUCAAACAAGUACGUUGACUACUUUAGAUGAACCCGUGAAAGAAUCAUCUGAAGAUGUUUUUGAGGAAACAGAAGACAAAAAUCAUUUAUGUGUGGAUGUACAGCAAGAAUUGUUGACAAAGAAUAGAUUUAAGGAAAAUUUAUCUGGCAAAAGUCAUGUUGCAAAGGCAUCUCCUGAAGAAAUCCAUUUUAUGGAGAAAUCCACUGAGGUAAAUAAUAAUAAAUUUGAUGAAAGUGGAAACACUGAAACAGACAAGUUUGACAAGUAUAAAGAAGAUGUGGAAGUGCAGAAAAUCAAAUCCCAAGACAGAGGGGGGAUUUCAUCAAAAGAGGAUGAAAAAACAGCAGCAAAAAGUGAGGGAACAUUAGAAGGAAAAGAAGAUGAUAAGGAAGAAAAGGAUGAUGUGUUUAAAGCAAAUGAUAGCACCUGGCAAAGAGACACUAAUAAUUUGUUAGAAGGUGAAAAUGUGCGUGAUAGGGAGGAAGAUAUUGAGAAUUUAGUUUUAUCACCAUCAAGCUCUUGUGAAGGAUUUGGAACAUGGAAGAAUGACCACAAUAACAACCAUAAAAGAUUUUUUGACAGAAAGAAAGAAAUUGUCAAAGUUCCAACAAAGUUUGCAGGAAGAGUUAUCGGAGCACAUGGUAGUGUUGUGUUAUCUAUUCAAGAGGAGACUGGGGCGAGAGUAUCCACUUUAUCCAAACAGAGAGAGAAAGAGAAUGAAGAAAAUAUGCAAGACGAGAGUUCAGAAGAAUGCAGAUUCGAGAUAGUUGGAAAUGACGAGAGUGUAGCUCGUUGGUGUCAAUCAACUAACUUUUCAACGAGGCUUUGAAAACAGACGAUGAAGCCAGAAAGGAGAACUAUAAGAGAAGUUUUCAUCUGACAAAGAAGAAGGUUUAUGUCAAAAUUGCCAGGAAAUAUGUCGGCCGAGUCAUUGGUUUUGGCGGGUCCUCCAUUAAUACCAUCAAGACGGAGUCUGGGGCGAGAAUUAACGUUCUCCACGAUAAAAAUAGGAGAAGUAGAUUUAAGAAUAUCGACGAAUGCCACAAAGCCGAGAGUGUUUCACUAUGGACAGAAAAUAAAUCUGUAAAAAUGAGAUGUACGAAGAAAAGUCGAACAUUGAAGUAAAACAAGAGACGAGCGACGAAUCUGAAAGUCGUCUGAACGAAUCAAAAGCCAUGUUAGAGCAGAUCACAAACUCCAAUAGUGAAUCUGCAUUUGAGGAACAACACGAUGAGGAAGUGUUCUCGGGGGAAAGAAAUCUCGUGACUUGUGAAAAUUUGGCUUGUGUCGAAUCUAAAGUAGAGAGUAAUGAGAAAAUUGAAGAAAAUGAAGAUGACGAACUUGAAAUUGAAAUCAUAGGAACUGAUGAAGCUAUAGAGAUAGCAAAGAGAAAAUUGAGAAUAUUGUAAAAUCUAUUGACAAUCCGGGAGGAAAGUACUUCGCUCGAAGUUACAGUUGCAGCGCACCAAGCAAAGGUUUUAGGCCGGAGUUUAAACGCAGUCAAUCUUGCCCCGUUGUGGACUGGGGCGACUGGUGUGGUGGAGACUGCUCCUUCUGUCUCAAAGGUUCCUAUUGUCGAUCGUUCUUGUUGCAACAGUCCCAAAGUCCAACAUGCUGGAGAAGACCCGAGGCGCUCUGUCUAUCUAAAAACUUGGAUUGGGUGGAUGUCAUAGUGAAAGUUCAGGUUGACGAUCCGCUUCUUUGGAAGCCACGAAAAUCGUCUAAUUCAUGCAUGGAAACGACCGAAGAUGUUUGUGAAUAUCCAUCUAAAUCAAUCAACGGGUGUGAAAGUGAUGCUGGUCAAGUUACACUGGGCUCAAAUCAUACAUAAAAUACUGCGGUAACAGCAUGAACUGUCGAUAUUGUAGAGUCAAUUUUUAUUAACAAAUAUUUUUUCUGACAAAAACGUUUCCAGCAUUGUUUAAGGUUGGUUAAAAUGUUAUAAACCAGCUCUGAGACAGCAGUAAAAUUCAUUUUUAUGUAAUGUUAUAAAUAUUGAGACUAAGAAUCGAAGUUGUAUGUUAGACUUGAAAAUUAAAAUCAUGAUAUUUAGUAUUUACACAAA